rnacentral:misc_RNA from 1 species
AAUGAUAAUUUUGCAAAGCUAUCAGAGGCACUCUAUGUUGCAGAGCAGAAGGCUAGAGAAGCUGUAGCUAUGAGAUCAAAGGUUCAAAAAGAGAUGAUGAUGAAAGAGAAGGAAAGGAAAGAGCAGGAACUGCGGGCAUUAGCUCAGAAAGCUCGUUCUGAAAGAACUGGUGCAGUGCCACCGGCAUCUGCCCCAAUCCCAUCUGAUAAGAGUGCAAUGGAUGAUGU